rnacentral:tRNA from 1 species
AAGAUUUUAAGUUAAAUAAACUAUUAACCUUCAAAGUUAAAUAUAUCUCUACAGAUAAGUCUUA